AUGCCCCGCCCCUCACGCAGCGCGCCGUCAGUGGGGUGGAAAGUGAGACCAACUCAGAAAUGGAGCAAUAGAGGCAGGGAGUGGUCUUGGCCUCUCUUCCAGGCUGUAGUCAGUCGAAAGACGGCUCUGGGGUUUCUUUGGCCUGUCGGGACGAACUUACAGAACUUUUGCCCUUCAACAAGCCCCACUGUACCCUUGUAACUGCCCCCAAGCCAAGGAACAUGACCCACCCCUACCCGCCCCGGGAGCCCCAUGGCUCCUGUCCUGUUCUGUCAUCUCCACCCUAUGAAGGUGGCCAGCGUCUGGAGUUUAGCCCAAUGGAGUCUUGCUGUGUUGCCUAGGCUGGAGUGCAGUGGCACCAUGUCGACUCACUGCAACCUCCGCCUCCCCGGUUCAAGCGAUUCUCCUGCCUCAGCCUCCUGAGUAGCUGGGAUUACAGGGUCUCACUCUGUCACCCAGGCUGGAGUGCAGUGGCGCAGUCAUGGCUCCCUGUAACCUCAACCUCUCAGACUCCAGCAAUCCUCCUGCGACAGCGAAGUUAAUCUUCUGGUUCGGUUCACAAAGUGCAGGAGAGCCUACCAGCUUGAGAGAAAAGGAGUCAUGCUGUAUUUGUUUCCUUGAGUGAAUGGCCACUCAGCUGCUGUGUUUCUCCCUGCAUGUGGCUGAAGUUUACAUUGGAGGGUGACUUCCUGAUUGCCAGUUAGCAUAUGUGUCCGGCUACCAGCCGCCUGACUGGCUGAGGAUGCUCUUUGUUUGUUCAAGGAUGAACGUUCUCCCCCUGCCUUGCAGGAAGAGGGGAGCAAGGUGCGCCCGGGAGACGCGUGACAGUGCCCUGUAAAGCCAGUAGAGGAAAUCUUGUGGAGUGUGAAUGCACAGGCUUAGAUUCCCCUGUCCCUGAGUCGGGGGCAUGUGCUCGUGGAGAAUGACCCUAUCAAGUUCAAGGUGUGGCAUCUCCUGAUCCAGCAACAGGAUUUGUUCCAGAGAAAAAUCCCCAGGUCUUGGGACUGUUGACAGAUGGCCAUGACUAUGCUUAAUGUGGUCAUCAACUGAGAAUGGUCCGUCUCAUCUUUGAGUAUGCAAUUACCUUUAUAGCUGAUUAUGACACCCUCAGAUCAUAUCAUGAGGUGGACAAGAUGAGUCCAUGGCCCAUGCUGAGAACUGGUACUUCUGUCUUCAUAGACUCACUCACCAACCAGAGAUGUACGACGGACCCCAAAUGGUCUGUCAAAAAUGUGAACUUGCACUAAGACAAGACCCAACAUCAGUGACAUUGGACACAAGAUAGAAAUCAGAGAACAGUUACUGUCCAGCAGUUUUAACCACCAAUACCCAUUUAUUUUAAUGGAAAAAAAAAUCUCUGCAUUCUAUAUGUUCCAAAAGGAUUUACCAUUGAAACAAAUACAAUAUAUGGAACUCUAUCUGUAUAAUUUCACUACAACAAAGACAACAUAUGACUUCUACUUCCUACAGAAGGCUAACUGAAAGCACAAGUGCAAACAUAGAUUGCAUAAGAAAGCGUGUGUGUGUGCAUGUGCGGUUAAAACCUUUAGUAAGCAACUGCAUUAAAAUAUGCUAAGACACUCACCUUACCCUAGUUCGUGGCGAGCUCUAAUAAAAAGCCACAAGCUGUCACUAGUUUUAUUUGAUAGAAAAAUUUGGUGUGAGCUUUGAUGAUUCAUUUAUGGUUUAUCAACAAGAAGGUAAUCUUAGAACAAGCACUAACUUUCCGCUUUUACAUGCUCACAGAAUACAAAUCAGUUACUUUUCAUACAUAAUGAACGUCUUUUAUUUUCGGGUUUGCAAACAACGGUAGUCAAUUCACACAAAAGGGUACUUUUAAAACUACCUGUAUUUACUCUAUUUUAUGCCUGUAUAUAUGAAACAAACAGCGUGAAUGUGCAUAAAUGUAUGUCUGUACAUGUGGGUAUAUAUGUGUAUACAAGAUGGUACCUGUACACCUCUUUGUAUGCAUGUAUGACCUCCAUGAUGACAGGUGCAGUUGUACAUUUACUGAGGAGGGAGAGAUUCUCUACCAUGAUCUGUGUCCCCAUUAGAAUCAGUACGACUGUGGAUUCGGGACACAUACAAAUGCAGGUUGGUGCCCAUGAAAGAAAAUGUCAGCCCUUUUCUUGGCAUUUGGUGGUGAAAUUGCCUGCUCUGCUCCUCACCUCCUUGGCUCAGGAUCACGGCAUCAGAUGGCAGUGUAAAUUGGUUGUAGUCCUCGAACUCAAUAAAGAGAAAGGACUUCUUUCUCUGCUCUCCCUCUCUGUGGACCUGCCUGGCUGGUUGUGGCAGCAUUCAGACUGAACGGGACAGUGGAGAAGUAGCUUCGGAGCAAAAGUGACAGCUCUGUGGUCUGUCCUCAUGCUGACCUUGAUGCGGGAGGCCCUGGAGGGUUCAGGUGUCUUAGUUUCCACCCACCUUGCUUAACCUUGCAAGGAAGAAUGGCAUCAAAACGAGGCUUCUCCAGGAUAGUCUCUCUCUAUAAAUACCGUGUAUAUAUACAUACAGAUACUCAUACAUACACCAAUACUAACCCACAGACAAAGCUGGGUGCCUGGAGCACUGGCUAGCGACAUGUUAACACACCAGAAAAAGUAGUCAUUGUUCCUGCUCCCAGAAGAUCAAGUCAUAUGUCAUGAUCUUUAAACAUUCAGGGAAAAUUCAGAAGAUUCCAUUAAUUAAAGGAGGGAGGAAGAUGCUGUCAAAAUGAUGAAGUACAGACUAAGUGAAAUUGUAAAGAAAAUAAAAAACCGGAACAAUUGAGGCCUAGUUGUGAAGUUCGAUAGCUGUAAACCGCAAUCUUCAGAUUUGGAUAGAUUUUUUUUUUUCCUGUUGCUAUGGAAACUUGGGAGUCAAGCUUCAGACGUCAGGAGUUCUCACAGACCUGAAUAGAGAGGGUUCAGAGUUAAGUCGGGAAUAUCACCACUCAAUUCAAAACAUUUUAGCUAAAAGCCAGAAAAAUGACAGGCAAGGUAUAAUAAACACAUUUUAAACAUCACACGACUAUGGGGGAAUUUUUU
rnacentral:lncRNA from 1 species